rnacentral:lncRNA from 1 species
UGGAUACAUAUAUUUUUGCUCUCUAUGAUGAGGACUUGAAGCCUGGCCCUACCUCUGAACGUUCAUUCGGGCUCUUCAAGCCAGACCUUUCAGCAGCAUAUGAUGUUGGUAUUUCAAAGAGUAGCCAGGUGAGACACAAUCAACCUUGCCACUCUUUAAACCAUAAUGGAAUUUCUUUUUCUUUAGCAUGUUUUGUGAGACUUCAGUGAUAAUAAAAUACGCGUGUAAAAAAUCUUUGAAAGUUCAAGUUCAGUUCCAAACAGGACUAGAUGAAAAAAUGGUUCAUUUUGAGAUCAAAUUUCUUCUAAAAUAAAGGAAACCACACAUUCAUAUUAGAGAAAUUAGAUGUUCUCUUCAUUCUCUUCAUUCUCUUCAUUGAUAAGUUGAGGAUUUGAAAUGUUCUAUCUCAAUUGUUGUUCUCUUUUUUGGUUUGAUUUCUUUCAUAUGGUCUAUACUAUAGAUGAUGAUGUUCUCUUCAUUUUCUUUUGUACUUUUUUUCCUCCUAUCUAUAGACUCCAUCAGCUCCAGUGACUCCAUCAACUCCAAAAACUCCAACGACUCCAUCACCAAAACCAACAGCAGCUGGUUGGUGUGUGCCCAAGGCCGGCAUCUCCGAUGCACAACUGCAGGCAAGUCUUGACUAUGCCUGCAGCCAAGGCAUCG